UUUGCAGGUACACUAAAUUAUCACCAGAAAGAAUUCAAUCAGUCAUCAGCGCGUAAUGACUGACACCUUUAUGGGCAGGAGACUGCUGAUGUGCACUUCCCCUCCUUCCUGAAUCAGUCUCAUGUUGUGAUUGCGGUUUGGAGCUUCUGUGGUUGUUGUUUGGUGGUGGUGGUGUUACACUUGCUUCCAAGAGUCAGCUGUGCUUUAGGUGCUCCUCCCCUUGCGGCGCUGAAGUGUGCUUCCUGCACUGUGGGUGGGCACACUGGUGUUGGGAGGUAAGGUUACCUCCCAUACCUCCCACCUACCAUAAAAUAUUAUGUUUAAGCUGCUGUUAGCUCUUGUUGGGCCGGUUACUGAGUGGCUUUUUCGUCUCCAGUUUCUGUGGACAGCAUUCGAGCUGUGGGCUCUCCCUCUCUCCUCACGGGUUGGGAAAACUGCGCCGCUGCUCUUUGGUCUAAAUCCUCCAAGCUGUUGCCGACUACUUUUCGGGCAGGUGCUGUGGGGCAGAUAGCGGCUGGUCCCCUAGUGGUGGUGUCCCAUCAUUGGUCCCUCAACUGCACUUGGGUGUCAUUCGGAUGUUUUGUGGUAAACAUGAGGAGCCCCCAGCCGUAGCCCAGGCGUCUUGUUUGUUUGUGGGCUU